rnacentral:lncRNA from 1 species
CAACAUAUUGAUCCCUUUCUGCAUGUUUUACAUACUUAGGUAGGUUUUAUGCAUAUCAUGCAUGUUUUGCAUACAUUCUGCAUAUUUGGAGUGUUUCAGGUACAUAGGAGACAUGCAGAGCGAAGCAGAGGAACAAGCAUUACUCGACAUGCAUAUGAUCGAGUGGGACGAUCGAGUGAGAAGCAGAGAUGCGUUGUAGAAACAUACUUCACUCGACGGACGUGAUCGAGUAGCGGAUCGAGCGGGUGAUCGAGUAGGGUGAUCGAGUGAAACGAAGGAAUGCUAAACAACAGUCACUCGACGUGGACACUCGAGUGACACGAUCGAGCAAAGCAGAGAAGAUGCUCACUCGAGAUGCUCACUCGACCAACUUAGUCACAAAAACUUUUAAACCGCUUUUACGUUUUCGUUUUAUGUUUUAAGUUUUUCCCAAACAUUGUUAUAAAUAGAUCUCAUUUGGAUUGCCCAGGGGAUCGAGUUUUUAUUAGGUUUUUGUUGUUAGCCACCAAACAGUCCAGAGAAUUGUAAUAAUG